GCAGUUGGGGAAGCGUGCGCGCGAAAAACGAGAGAUAUCAAUCACUGCAAUAUCUUUUAAGCUUAAAAAAAAUCAUAUAUCAUAAGCUGUACAAGGUUGGUAGGACUUCUUCCAUUGCUAAUUAUUUGUAUAUAAUAAUGCGAUGCCCUUUCCCGUUUUCAUGAUUUUUUUUAUUGCAAUGGUAGGUAAUAUACCUGAAAAUGAUAUCCUUAAUUUUAUAUACCGGAAAUGAUUCUGAGCUGGUACUUCUCAUAAGAAUCUGAAACUGAUACAUAUAUACUUUGUAAAUUCAUUGUGCCACACUGACACUGUUAAUCACAACAAAUCACCAUGGAUGAUGUAUACUCAGCCAGUUCCCUGGCGACUUUCAUUCCUUUAUUCAAUUUAUUUAGUUCUGAAUUUACUGUCAUGGAAUGUACUGUUACUUCACAUGAGCAAAUUAGGUUUACAUUACCAUGAAUUAAUCAACAAGGACAGCAUGUCUGAACUCUGGAGAAACUAGCUGACAAGCACAGCUCAACUGGGCACCUGUCUUCUUCUCCCUACCACAAUGAUUAACCUAGCUAGGUUCUUAACAACUCCAGUGGGCUUCACCUUUUCAAUAUUCUCAUCUUGCCAAGAACAUAUUCCAACAUGGAAGAGGGCAUAUUAUACAGAUUCUGAUGAGAUGAACUUUUCGAAAUGCGUAAAAAUUCCUUGCUGGCUACAACACAACACAUAGCUUGAAUUGGACGCCAUUGAAUAAUCUUAGCUUAACAGCUUCAUCUGAACAACAAGUUUAGCUAGGACCAUUCGGGCAGAUAGAGAUAAUUGUGUCGAUCAAUCAUGCCAUUGGCUCAAUCUACCAACCCCCAAUCUGGGAAGGAGAAAAAAUAUCAGUUUUCAGAGAAGAGAUUGAUCCAUCCGGGAAACGCCAAGCGCCAUACGUUGUGAUCUUGGAUGGAUAAGAGGGGAUGAUGCCAAUGAAAACUCAGGCCACAAUUAUUCAGACAACAAAUGGUAGAAACAAUCUUGCAUGCCUUGUUUAAAUUAUGCAGGGCAUGCAUGCCCAGAUCUUUGUAUGAGUGGUUCUGUGAAUGCAGUCAGGUUUCUCAUCGUUUUCAUAUGGAUGGAUGGAUGGUAGCUUUCUGAAUGCCUGCAUUUGCAUUUGCAUGCAUGCACUCUGCCAUUGGUCCCCUUAUCUCCUUCGGGCCAUUGCAGGACACUCACAGGUUCUCUCCUAUUGGAAUGAGUCCAGGCAUUGCUGCUAGCUACUCCCUCUGUCUCAUGUUUGAUUUUUUUUUUCUUAUAAUGUUUGAUCAUUUGUCUUAUUCAAAAAAUUAAG
rnacentral:lncRNA from 1 species